rnacentral:tRNA from 1 species
UGCCCCAUGGCUGAGUUGGUUACAGCGUCCGACUGUUAUAUGAGGAUAAUACUCCAUUGUCAAUCGGAAGGUCGUGAGUUCGAGCCUCACUGGGGCAG